rnacentral:tRNA from 1 species
UGUUAGUAUAGUUUAACAAAAACAUUAGGCAGUGGCCCUAAAAACAGAGGUUUAAUUCCCCUUACAGACC